GGUGUGCGCCUCAAAAGUGGGUCUUCAGCGAGCUGGAGAACCCGAGCGGGGGAGACCCGGGCUGGGGAGAGGAGAGGGAGAGAGCGCGGACGCCUGGCGAGGAGAGGCUGGCGCUCCCCGGCCAGCUUUGUUGUGGUCGCCCGAGGGGCGGCGGCGGGUCCCCGGGAACGCCGGCUGCCGGCCGUGGUAGUUACACCAGGGCGCCCGCGCCGGGCCGGGGAGCCGCGGCUGGCUCCGGAUGAACUUUUCCCGAAAGGAAAAGGAGGACAGUGAGAAAGGAAGGUAACUACCCUGCACGGUUUGUGUGGAAACUUUCUGGCCGAGGUCCGGUCCAAUCCCCUCCUCAAACUGCACCCGACUUUGCCUCGGCACUGCGGGUCCCACCGCGGCUGUGCGUCAGUCUCGCCGAGCCCCAGCUGGGGGCGGAGCUCUGGUCACCCCGAGCGCCACGCGCCGCGGCCCCCCACCCUCUCCGAGCGGCGCCGCGGGCCCCAACUUCUCGCCCUGGCGCUCGUACACGGGUCCUGGCCCAGAGAACCGAGAACAGGCAUUUCGUCAACAGCCGCCUCCCUCCCCCACUCUGAGCCCCUCCUGGAAAAUACAAAGUAGCGUGUGGUCCAAGCGCGGCUCUGGCCGGACUUUCCUGUGGGAGCGGGGUGGAUGGGAGUGGUUAGGAAGGGGAAAGUGCUCUGUGUGUGUGUGUGUGUGUGUGUGUGUGUGUGUAGGGAGGGCGAGGGAGAGAGAGAGAGGUGGGAGGGCUCUUUUUGGCCCCCUUUCCAUCUUUGCUACACUGUAAGCUCUUUCGGGCAACACCAAGUAGGGUAAGAGAGAAGCAUGCAGAGACUCCAAGACGAGUCGGGGAAAUUUGGCCUCGAUUUAAUAGGGCUAGGGAAUGAGCUCCGGAGGUCAAUAAAGCACUCCAAAAAUGAUGAAUGAUGGAGCACCUGUGAUGAUGAUAGUGAUUACCAGUGCAAUUAAACAGUUUGAUUAAAUGAGCCAUCAUAACAAUGAUGUCUGCGGGAAAUCGGCCCUCACAUAUAAAGAAAGAUAGUGCGGAGGGGCUGACAGAGGCGCGGAUCUCGAAGCGCCGGGGACGGGGCUGCCGUCUGCGAGGUACCCUGAGCGGGGACCGCAGGCUGCGGCAGCUUCAGAGAAGAGUCUAGCCUAGGAUUUCCGCCUUUUUCCUGGCUUCAAGCCUUGGAGACCCGACGGGUAUGAAACCUGGAGGUUGGGGGGGGGGCUCCUUCCACCUCCUCUUUUUUUUUUUUCCUAGAAGAACUCCAAGAUUAAAAAUAUCCUUCUCGUUUGAUGCCGAGUUGCUGGUCGACAUAUUUUUAAAAGGAUCCCCUCAAGUCUGAUAGGAAAGACAGGACCACUUCUGGACUAGCUGUAAGGAUGUGUUUUUGUUUCUAUAACACUGAAGCACUUUUCAUAAACCUUUUACUGUAUCUAUGUAAGUCUAUUUGGACAUUAAAAGAAGCGAAGGCACAAAGAUAGCUUGGCUUUAUGCCCUCAGCCUAGCCUUAACAACAACAACAACAAAAUCCAGAAUCUGAGACUUUCUCAUACUCAUCCUUGCCAAAAAAAAAAAAAAAAAAAGCAAAGCAAACAAAAGUUUGCGGCUCCCAUCUGUAUGUCUUCCUGUGUGCAUUUAUAAACAUCUUCCAGUCGGUGUUACCGCCCUCCUGCCGCACAUGCGAAGGCAGAGGCAACGAGGGAUCGCCCCCCUGAGAGCUGUUUACUUAGGGUUUUUUUAAAAAUCUCUCCACCAUGUAUGACAAGUGUUACUUCAAGAAAUUAGUCAGCCUUCUACAGAUACUUCCAGUUCUGCUGUAAUGAUCUGCAGAAAUGACCUGCUAUCGCUUUAUCACAUCCCAAGGUGUUUCAGGGACCCCGGGAGAGGGCACAGUGGUAGCCACUCUUAAUUACCUUGGGGAGGGAGGGGCGCCGACCGGGCGGAAGGCGGACAGGGACUGGGACCGGGAGGGUCCCUCCUCCCGAGGCACCUGAGGAAGCUCCCAGGCGCCUCUCUGCGAGUAUUUGGAAAAGGUAUGGUUGCCUUUUUUUUUUUUUUUUAAUUCCUUUAGGGAGAAGUGAUACCCUUGUGUAACAAUUAGCUCAAACAAUAAAAAUAAUUGGAAAAUCAGUCGGAAUUUCUGAGUUUUUAAUUACGUUUAAUUUUGUGCUAAGCCGUAAAAUUACGAAUGCCCCUCAAUUAAACACUUUCCUCUUGUAAAGCGUUUAACAACAAUUAUUCCUUAAUCAGCCUGAAUGUGAGUCACAAAUGGGGCUUUUCCACAUCAAAAGGACGUCCUUCGAUGUUACCUUUUUAGUCAUAAGAG
ensembl:lncRNA